rnacentral:rRNA from 1 species
CCUACGGGAGGCAGCAGUGGGGAAUAUUGCGCAAUGGGCGAAAGCCUGACGCAGCGACGCCGCGUGAGGGAUGAAGGUCUUUGGAUCGUAAACCUCUGUUAGCAGGGAAGAAUGGUCACUGUGCUAAUAAGCAGUGAAUUGACGGUACCUGCAACGGAAGCACCGGCUAACCCCGUGCCAGCAGCCGCGGUAAUACGGAGGGGGCGAGCGUUAAUCGGAAUUACUGGGCGUAAGGCGCUCUUAGGCGGGAUGUCAAGUUAAGGGUGAAAUCCCCGCGCUCAACGGGGGAACUGCCUUUGAAACUGGCUAACUGGAAUGUGUGAGAGGAUAGUGGAAUUCCAGGUGUAGGGGUGAAAUCCAUAGAUAUCACGAAGAACUCCGAUUGCGAAGGCAGCUCACUAGACUGCAACUGACACUGAGGCUCGAAAGUGUGGGUAUCAAACAGGAUUAGAUACCCUUGUAGUC